rnacentral:misc_RNA from 1 species
AACGCACAUUGCGCCCUCCGGUAUUCCGGGGGGCAUGCCUGUCUGAGCGUCAGUAUUCUCUCUCUAUUAUAUAUUUUAGGGGUGUUGGAAUUGGUAUUGGUAUUGACAUACCUUUUCUAAAAGAGAUUGGCAAUGAUGAGAAGAAAGCCAGUGUUAUAGGUUUACCCAUCACUCUCAUUCUUUCAAGUCUUGCCGUAAAACUUAUAUACUUCGUAUAUACUUUUAAUUUGACCUCAAAUCAGGUAGGAGUACCCGCUGAACUUAA